CAGUCGCCGCAGGAAAACGUAGGGUGCAAGCGUUAAUCGGAAUUACUGGGCGUAAAGCGUGCGCAGGCGGUUAUAUAAGACAGAUGUGAAAUCCCCGGGCUCAACCUGGGAACUGCAUUUGUGACUGUAUAGCUAGAGUACGGCAGAGGGGGAUGGAAUUCCGCGUGUAGCAGUGAAAUGCGUAGAUAUGCGGAGGAACACCGAUGGCGAAGGCAAUCCCCUGGGCCUGUACUGACGCUCAUGCACGAAAGCGUGGGGAGCAAACAGGAUUAGAUACCCGGGUAGUCCCUGUCUCUUAUAC
rnacentral:rRNA from 1 species